UUUAAUUCGAAGCAACGCGAAGAACCUUACCAAAUCUUGACAUCCUUUGACAACUCUAGAGAUAGAGCUUUCCCCUUCGGGGGACAAAGUGACAGGUGGUGCAUGGUUGUCGUCAGCUCGUGUCGUGAGAUGUUGGGUUAAGUCCCGCAACGAGCGCAACCCUUAAGCUUAGUUGCCAUCAUUAAGUUGGGCACUCUAAGUUGACUGCCGGUGACAAACCGGAGGAAGGUGGGGAUGACGUCAAAUCAUCAUGCCCCUUAUGAUUUGGGCUACACACGUGCUACAAUGGACAAUACAAAGGGCAGCGAAACCGCGAGGUCAAGCAAAUCCCAUAAAGUUGUUCUCAGUUCGGAUUGUAGUCUGCAACUCGACUACAUGAAGCUGGAAUCGCUAGUAAUCGUAGAUCAGCAUGCUACGGUGAAUACGUUCCCGGGUCUUGUACACACCGCCCGUCACACCACGAGAGUUUGUAACACCCGAAGCCGGUGGAGUAACCUUUUAGGAGCUAGCCGUCGAA
rnacentral:rRNA from 1 species